UCUAGCCGCCCGAAACACCCGC
rnacentral:miRNA from 1 species